GAUGAACGCUAGCGGCAGGCUUAAUACAUGCAAGUCGAGGGGCAGCAUGACUGUAGCAAUACAGUUGAUGGCGACCGGCAAACGGGUGCGGAACACGUACAGAACCUUCCUUCGAGCGGGGAAUAGCCCAGAGAAAUUUGGAUUAAUACCCCAUAGUACAACGGAGUGGCAUCACUUUGUUGUUAAAGAUUUAUCACUUGAAGAUGGCUGUGCGGCUGAUCAGGUAGUUGGCGGGGUAACGGCCCACCAAGCCUGCGAUCAGUAACUGGUGUGAGAGCACGACCAGUCACACGGGCACUGAGAAACGGGCCCGACUCCUACGGGAGGCAGCAGUAAGGAAUAUUGGACAAUGGACGCAAGUCUGAUCCAGCCAUGCCGCGUGAAGGAUUAAGGUCCUCUGGAUUGUAAACUUCUUUUAUAAGGGACGAAAAAAGGUCUUUCUAGAUCGUCUGACGGUACCUUAUGAAUAAGCACCGGCUAACUCCGUGCCAGCCGCCGCCGUAAUAC
rnacentral:rRNA from 1 species